rnacentral:lncRNA from 1 species
AUUAAACAUGUCCUGCAAAUCUCAGGAAUCAGCACACAGAGAAACACAAAGAAGAGCAGGUCCUCCCGUGUAGAGGUAACCAACUUAUCCCUGCCUAAGGAACCUUCUGUGACUGCACCUAGGACAGUUGCUUCACUAAAAAGGGACACCAGAUCUUCUCUUCAUUCCUCCAGCAUCAAAAGGAGAGUUAGAUCCCAACAUAGCCCACUUGGGCAGUACAAGGCCUGCUCUAGAAAGAGAAUGUCUAUACACUAAAGAAGUGGCAGGACCUUGCCAGUUCAAAUCCACAAGGGUCUUGGGAGCACGUGUCGGAGAGGAUUCUAAGCAUUGUGUUAGCCUAAAGAUGGUAAACACAAGGCUUGGCUGGGCACAGAGCCUCGUGCCUGUAAUUCCAGCACUUUGGGAGGCUGAGGCGGGCGGAUCACUCUUCAAACUCCUCAAACUCAGGAGUUUGAGACCAGCCUGGCCAACAUGGUGAAACCUGUUUCUACUAAAAAUACAAAAAAUUAGCUGGGCGUGGUGGUGGGUGCAUGCCUGUAGUCUCAGCUACUCGGGAAGCUGAGGCAGGAGAAUCGCUUGAACCCAGGAGGCAGAGGUUGCAGUGAGCCGAGAUCGUGCCAUUGCACUCCAGCCUGGGUGAAAAAGUGAGAAUCU